rnacentral:rRNA from 1 species
AGUGAACGCUGGCGGUAGGCCUAACACAUGCAAGUCGAACGGCAGCACGGAAUUAGCUUGCUCUUCGGGGUGCGAACGGGCGAGUGGGGGAGGAGAACAUGGGAAUUAACUUUUUAGAGGGGGGUAACGUAGGAAAAAUUACGCUAAUACCGCAACCGACCAACGGGUGAGAGCAGGGGACCUUGGACCCUUGGGCGAUUGAAUGACCGGAUGUCGGAUUAGCUAGUUGGCGGGGUAAAGGCCCACCAAGGCGACGAUCCGUAGCUGGUCUGAGAGGAUGAUCAGCCACACUGGGACUGAGACACGGUCCAGACUCCUACGGGAGGCAGCAGUGGGGAAUAUUGGACAAUGGGCGCAAGCCUGAUCCAGCCAUACCGCGUGGGUGAAGAAGGCCUUCGGGUUGUAAAGCCCUUUUGUUGGGAAAGAAAAGCAGCAGGUUAAUACCCCGCUGUUCUGACGGUACCCAAAGAAUAAGCACCGGCUAACUUCGUG